rnacentral:rRNA from 13 species
GCUUACGGCCAUACCAGCCUGAAUACGCCCGAUCUCGUCCGAUCUCGGAAGCUAAGCAGGGUCGGGCCUGGUUAGUACUUGGAUGGGAGACCGCCUGGGAAUACCAGGUGCUGUAAGCUU